GUAGCCUUGCAGGUUCGAGGUUCUUCGGCAUCUGGCCGAAGCUAAGAAGGGAACGCGGUAAGCCGCGGCUGCCCCCGCAACUGUAGACGGCUCGAUAACCCUGCAAAGCCACUGCCUCUGGCGGGAAGGCGCGGGAAUCGGCGGAUCGGAGUCACUCCGCACGCCCGACCGUAAGCCAGGAGACCUGCCUCGUGACAGAUUCUCAC
rnacentral:ncRNA from 1 species